CCUGCUUGAGGUACAAAGUAUGUGAUGAGGUACAUAAAAAAGGGAGAGGCUGCGCCUCUAGAGGCGAAUCAGAGUUUAGUUUGGCAUAUCAUGGUAAGCGCAUUGAGGAAGUGACAGUCCCUAUAUGUUGGGUCCCUCAGGGCCCAGCUCAUGCCUGUGGGGCUGGAGGAGGAGGAAAAAAAAAAAAAAAGAAAAAAGGCCAGUAAAAAAGAUAUGGUAGUCCCUUGGGUGAGCUUAUCUGUCCGACGUGUGGAGCUUGCUGCCUUGAACCUUGU